rnacentral:rRNA from 1 species
CCUACGGGAGGCAGCAGUGAGGAAUAUUGGUCAAUGGACGAGAGUCUGAACCAGCCAAGUAGCGUGAAGGAUGACUGCCCUAUGGGUUGUAAACUUCUUUUAUAUGGGAAUAAAAUGUUCCACGUGUGGGAUUUUGUAUGUACCAUAUGAAUAAGGAUCGGCUAACUCCGUACCAGCAGCCGCGGUAAUACGGAGGAUCCGAGCGUUAUCCGGAUUUAUUGGGUUUAAAGGGAGCGUAGGUGGAUUGUUAAGUCAGUUGUGAAAGUUUGCGGCUCAACCGUAAAAUUGCAGUUGAAACUGGCAGUCGUGAGUACAGUAGAGGUGGGCGGAAGUCGUGGUGUAGCGGUGAAAUGCUUAGAUAUCACGAAGAACUCCGAUUGCGAAGGCAGCUCACUGGACUGCAACUGACACUGAGGCUCGAAAGUGUGGGUAUCAAACAGGAUUAGAUACCCGAGUAGUC